UGUUCUAAGAUCAAUUGACUAUAGCAAAAUAUUUCUUUUCAAUCCUUUGCAAAUGAAAUAGACAAAUAGUUCACGAGAGUGACUUAUAUAUCAAAGCUUUUUCAUUUGAAAUACAUCAAAAUAAACAGAUUUUUCUCCGAUUAGCAAUAAAGCAACGACGAGACUUUUUCAUUCUAUGUUUCAAUAAUUUUAUGUCUAUAAAUAGAGAAACGAGGUAUCACUUUCACCAGAUGUUUGAAGUAUUGUGCGUCGCAAAUCAACAACAACGCACCCCCACAUUCUCGUUAUCUUAAACAAACUUCAAAUCUUCCCUUGGUCCAUCCAUCUUAUGGCAAUAUGGUUGCCUUUCCAAUAAUGAAUUGUUAAGCGUACAAGCUACAAAUAUUUGAAACAAAUUCUUAAAGAUGAAAAGGCAAGUUGAAAUUGCAACUCAUGAAAUACAUGUGAUAUGCGUUAAUAUUAUGAUAUCUCACUGAAAGAUACAGAGUUCUGCUUUUUUUAUGUUUCAUUGUACACAAUUACCGGACAGCACUGAACAGACAGGAUGCACUUUGAUUUUUCCUUCUAACUUAAUUGGUGCUUCCUUAAAUAACUGUAUCAAUAGAUUUGAAAUAAAAAUAAUGUGAAAUUUUGUGUAAUUAUUAUGCCAAAUUUAAAGAAUCCGAAUGGGAUUUAAAAGCGAAAACGCGUUGGGAAACGAAUGUGCUAUAUGACGUAGCAAUGUAAAGAUUUAUUUUUGAAAAGGCAAGGUGAUGACUGACUUACAAAGGGACUCCCAGAAAGACUGACAGAAUGUUGAUUUGCGACUCGAUUGUUGCGCCUUAAAUUACGCUUUGUACGUUUUUAGUCUAUUGUAUAUAUUUUUAGCAUUUA